rnacentral:misc_RNA from 1 species
GUUCCGUAGGUGAACCUGCGGAAGGAUCAUUAUCGUAUAACCGAGGUGCGAGGGCUGUCGCUGACCCGAAAGGUCGUGCACGCCCGAGUGCCCUCACACACAUCCAUCUCACCCCUAUGUGCACCUCCGCGUGGGUCCCCCUUUGGCUUGUUCGGAGGGGGGCUUACGCUUUCACACAAACUUUGUAUGCAGUGUAGAAUGUAUUUUUUGUUUUUGCGAUCACGCAAUCAAUACAACUUUCAACAACGGAUCUCUUGGCUCUC